CCCUUAGAUGUCCGGGGCUGCACGCGCGCUACACUGAAGGAAUCAGCGUGCUAAAACCAUUGUCGAAAGGCAUUGGUAGACCCAUUAAAAUCCUACGUGAUUGGGAUCGGGAAUUGCAAUUAUUUCCCUUGAACGAGGAAUUCCCAGUAAGUGUGGGUCAUAAGCUCGCGUUGAUUACGUCCCUGCCCUUUGUACACACCGCCCGUCGCUCCUACCGAUUGAAUGUGUUGGUGAGGAGCUCGGAUUGGCAGCGGUUGGUGGUUCGCCACCGGCCAUUGCUGAGAAGUCCUCCAAACCGCCCCAUUUAGAGGAAGGAGAAGUCGUAACA
rnacentral:rRNA from 1 species